rnacentral:rRNA from 1 species
GACGAACGCUGGCGGCGUGCUUAACACAUGCAAGUCGAACGCUGAAGACCUGGCUUUUGUUGGGUUGGAUGAGUGGCGAACGGGUGAGUAACACGUGAGUAACCUGCCCUCUUCUUUGGGAUAACGCCCGGAAACGGGUGCUAAUACUGGAUAUUCACUGGCCUUCGCAUGGGGGUUGGUGGGAAGGUUUGUUCUGGUGGGGGAUGGGCUCGCGGCCUAUCAGCUUGUUGGUGGGGUGAUGGCCUACCAAGGCUUUGACGGGUAGCCGGCCUGAGAGGGUGACCGGUCACAUUGGGACUGAGAUACGGGCCAGACUUCUACGGGAGGCAGCAGUGGGGAAUAUUGCACAAUGGGCGAAAGCCUGAUGCAGCGACGCCGCGUGAGGGAUGGAGGCCUUCGGGUUGGAAACCUCUUUCGCUCAUGGUCAAGCCGCAACUGUGGGUUGUGGUGAGGGUAGUGGGUAAAGAAGCGCCGGCUAACUACGUG